GGAUGUGAAGGUGAUCUGGCUGCAACAUCUGUUACCCCAUUGAUCGCCAGGGUUGAUUCGGCUGAUCUGGCUGGCUAGGCGGGUGUCCCCUUUCUCCCUCACCAUUCCAUGUGCGUCCCUCCCGAAGCUGCAUGCUUGGUAAAAGAGGAUGAUCUUCCCCAAUAUAGGAGGACUGGUCUUCGGUCAAGGGUAUACAAGUAGCUGUGCUCCCCUGCUAGAACCUCCAACCAAGCUCUCAAAAGGAUCUUUGGAAAAAAGACACUGUGGCUAGAUGGACCCCGUGUUCUCU
rnacentral:snRNA from 1 species